GCUCAGAUAGCGUAGUGGUAGCACAUCAGAUAUCUAAAGUGUACUCAAAUUCGCCUGUAAGGGUGCUGAGCUGCCGUUUUGGUUUGUGGGACAUCUAUCUGCGCUGCAUCUUGAAGGCCUCAGUUCGAUUCUGAGUCUGAGAA